GCCGGAGUGGUGGAAUUGGUAGACGCGCCAGACUCAAAAUCUGGUAUUCUUCGGAAUGUGGGGGUUCGAGUCCCCCCUCCGGCA
rnacentral:tRNA from 1 species